rnacentral:snoRNA from 1 species
UUGAAUGGAGUGAUGAAACGUUAAUAUUAACUGUUGUGAGCCAGCUGACCGCUGCGAUGAUACACUAAUUCCACAUGAGAUUUCUGACCAUUCAA